rnacentral:tRNA from 1 species
GCAGAUAUGGCUCAGUGGUAGAGUGUGUAUUUAGCAUGCAUGAGUUCCUGGGUUCAAUCCCUAGUGCCUCCA